AUGUCGGCGGCCGAGGGGAGGAAGACGGCGUGCGUCACCGGAGGGAGCGGCUACAUCGCUUCAGCGCUCAUCAAGCUGCUGCUCCAGAAAGGCUACGCUGUCAAGACGACUGUCAGAGACCCCGAUAACGUGGAGAAGAACUCCCACCUCAUGGACUUGCAAACACUUGGCCCCUUGGACAUCAUCAAUGCUCAGCUGGAUGAAGAAGGCAGCUUUGAUAAAGCAGUUUCCGGCUGCGACUACGUCUUCCUCGUCGCAGCUCCGACGAACCUCGGAUCAGCAGAUCCUGAGGGAUACGCGGUGUCCAAGGUGGUUCUGGAGAAGGCGGCGAACGAAUUCGCGGAGGAGAACAACGUUAGCCUUGUCACCAUGUUGCCCGUGUACACCUUGGGUGCGUCGCCGGACUCCAAGGCCAGAACCAGCGUCCCCAUCACCCUUUCCCUCUUGUCCGGUGACGAGAAACAGCUGGGCGUCCUGUUGGGCCUGCAGGCGGUCACAGAUGACUCCAUGGCGAUAUGCCACGUGGACGACCUCUGCCGCGCCAAGGUGUUCCUCGCCGAGAACGAGCCCUCGGCAGGCAGGUACAUCUGCUGCAGCAAAAACACCACCAUCCUGCAACUUGCUCGUCUCCUUGCGGAGAAGUACCCACAAUACAACUUGGAACCCGAACGCUUUGAUGGGUACCCAGAGAAGCCGAGAGUGUGUCUGUCGUCCGAGAAGCUUAUUGGGGAAGGAUUCACGUUCAAGUACAAUGACCUGAGUGAAAUCUUCGAUGACCUCGUCGAGUACGGCAGGACCACAGGGAUUCUCCCCUACUGA
rnacentral:rRNA from 1 species